rnacentral:rRNA from 1 species
UACGUAGGGUGCAAGCGUUGUCCGGAAUUAUUGGGCGUAAAGGGCUCGUAGGCGGUCCGUCACGUCGGGAGUGAAAACUUGGGGCUUAACCCCAAGCCUGCUUCCGAUACGGGCGGACUAGAGGUAGGCAGGGGAGAACGGAAUUCCGUGGUGUAGCGGUGAAAUGCGCAGAUAUCGUGAGGAAGACCAGUGGCGAAGGCGGGUCUCUGGACGACUCCUGACACUGAGGCACGAAAGCUAGGGGAGCAAACAGG